CAAGCGGAUGACAAUACAAUUCUAAUUGAAGAUGUCACUCAUGUAUCUACACCCAUAUCUUUGUCUCAAGUGACCCAUAGCAAUACUGAAUUGAUUCCGAUGCAUGA